UAUGUGAUCGUCUCUCGCAUAUCAAUAAGCGGAGGAAAAGAAACUAACAAGGAUUCCCCUAGUAACGGCGAGUGAAGCGGGAAGAGCUCAAAUUUGAAAUCUUAAAGGGUUUCCCUUUACGAAUUGUAGUUUAAAGAAGUGUUUUCUGUUGAGGUUUUGGUAAAAGUUCUUUGGAAUAGGACAUCAUAGAGGGUGAGAAUCCCGUAUUUGACCUUUACUUUCAACUUUGUGAUACACUUUCAAAGAGUCGGAUUGUUUGGGAAUGCAGUCCAAAAUGGGUGGUAAAUUUCAUCUAAAGCUAAAUAUUGGCGAGAGACCGAUAGCGAACAAGUACCGUGAGGGAAAGAUGAAAAGAACUUUGAAAAGAGAGUUAAACAGUACGUGAAAUUGUCAAAAGGGAAGCGUUUGACACCAGUGUUGUUUUUCUGAAAAUCAGUUAAAGAACUGUUUAUGCUAAGCUGUUUAGACUUUAUCAGCUAAUCUGUUUAGUUUUGAGCUUUUCUUUAAUGCACUUUUCAGUUAACAAGUCAACAUCAAUUUCUUUUGCCUGUAAAAAAGCUUGAGGAAGGUGGCUUGAGAUUCGUCUUAAGUGUUUAUAGCCUCUUGCCUAUGCAGUCGGAGAGAUUGAGGUCUGCAGCGUAGAUCCUUCGGGGCUAAAUGCAUUUGUGCUAAGUUAUAGCAUUUUAUAGACAACUUUGUUGACUAUGAUUUGUCUUGUAGCUUACUCGCUUAUGUUAUUUUACCUACGCUUAGGAUGUUGAUCUACAGAGCGAGAGU
rnacentral:rRNA from 1 species